rnacentral:rRNA from 1 species
CAGUCGCCGCGGUAACACGGAGGGGGCUAGCGUUGUUCGGAAUUACUGGGCGUAAAGCGCACGUAGGCGGCUUGGUAAGUUAGAGGUGAAAGCCUGGAGCUCAACUCCAGAGUUGCCUUUAAGACUGCCGAGCUAGCAGGUGAGAGAGGUAAGUGGAAUUCCGAGUGUAGAGGUGAAAUUCGUAGAUAUUCGGAAGAACACCAGUGGCGAAGGCGGCUUACUGGCUCAUACUGGACGCUGAGAUGCGAAAGCGUGGGGAGCAAACAGGAUUAGAUACCCCUGUAGUCCCUGUCUCUUAUAC